rnacentral:rRNA from 1 species
UACGGGGGGAGCGAGCGUUAUUCGUCAUGACUGGGCGUAAAGGUGAUCUGUAGAUGGCUAUUAAAUAACAUUACCUGUAAAGCCUUAUGGGAAGACAUUAGGAGUGUGGUUUUAGUUAUUGAAUUUGCUAAGAGUAUACUAGAUGGUUGCAGUACCUUCAGUGUAGAGGGUGGAAUUCAAGCAUACUGUUGGGGACUCGCAAUAGGUGAAAACGGCAACCGUUGGUAUUACUGACAUUGGAGGGAUGAAAGCAUGGGGAGCAAACAGG